GGGAGAUCACGUCACGCAGAGGAGUGCCACUUUGUACUCUCCGGUUUUAUUUUGGGGAGAAAUAAGAGAAUCCGCAACGAAGCUAAAGCAAAGGGUGCCGGCACUGCCGCACGGCAAUUUGCAUUCGGGAACUGGAGCGGGAGGGAAAGGAAAGUUAACCGAGCGCCUCCCGCUGCUUUCUGGCUUGCUCCGGCGGCUGCCGCUCCCUCCUUCCUCUCCGCGGAAGCGCUGCAGCUGCGUCGCUCUCCCCCUCCGAACGGGCCCUCUUCGGAUGCAGUGCGCGAUGCCGCAGCUUCGAAAAAGGCUUGUCGUCCUUGCACGGAAGCGAAAAACCCCGGAGUGCCGAGGCCGGGAACCGCUCCGGAGGCUGGGCAGCCGAGGCGGGAGGACGCCCCGGCUCGGCUCCAAGGCGCUUUCCCUCAGCGGCGCCCGACUCUCGUCUGGCACUUGCCGCGGCGGAAGGCGCGGGGCCGCACCAGCGCCCGCCUGCGUGCCCGGCACAGCCCGGCCACCCUCUCGCACCUGCAGGCUCCUCUCUCGCACCAGCUCCGGGAGCCUGCGGGGAGCAGAGGGGAAAAGCGCCGCGAUGCCGCUGCGGAGGGCAGGGGGCCGCGAAACGCAGCCCUCCGCUCGCCUUCGGUAUUUUGCACCCCGCAUCCCCCGCCGCCACCGCGGGAACUUACGGCAAGCCGCAAUCCCGGCCCGGGCGACGGCGAGCUGGGCCCGGGCGACGUCGCACCGGCGCGCGGCCAGCUUGGUGUAGCAGCAGGUGCGAAGCAGGCUGCACCUGCAGCGACAAGGGGGGAGGAAAAAACCGUUUUCCGCCCGCCGGUGGGCUGGGAAGCGCAGGCAGCACCUCCCUGCCCGUCCCUCCUGCUCUCAGUCGCCCACGAGCAGCUCCAGCCCCUUCCCUCUUUCGCUUCACCCCCAGCCCAGCCGGUUUUCCCACUUUUUGGCUUUUCCCCGGGGUCCCACAGGGCCGCCCCCGGCUGUACCGGUCCAUUGCAGCCUUCGAGGCGCCCCAUCCCGCCGAGCAGCCGGCGGCGGACAGGUUGGCCACGGUGCUUCCCUCGAGCGCCGGCGCGAAGGUGUGCGGGAACGGCUGCAGCUUCCCACCGGCCGGCAGCGCGCCUGCAGCGUCGGGGGGGGGGAAAAAGGCAGGUUUGUAGGAAGGAGCCCGGGGGGGGAGGCAGGUCUCAGCGGCUGUUUUUGGCAGGGCGCCGAGCGGGCGAGGGGCUCCCCCCCCACCCCGGGGUCGCCCUGCGGCUCGACGGUCGCGCUUACCGCAGGCGAGCAGCGCCGCCAGCAUCAGCAGGACCCUCAUCUUCCUCGGGGCGGGCGGACCGAGCGAGCGGCGCCGCUGGCUGCUCGGCACGGCGGCCGGGCUCUUAA
rnacentral:lncRNA from 1 species